UACAGAGGGGGCAAGCGUUGUUCGGAAUUACUGGGCGUAAAGGGCGCGUAGGCGGCCUGCUAAGUCGAACGUGAAAUCCCCGGGCUCAACCCGGGAACUGCGUCCGAUACUGGCAGGCUUGAAUCCGGGAGAGGGAUGUGGAAUUCCAGGUGUAGCGGUGAAAUGCGUAGAUAUCUGGAGGAACACCGGUGGCGAAGGCGGCAUCCUGGACCGGUAUUGACGCUGACGCGCGAAAGCCAGGGGAGCGAACAGG
rnacentral:rRNA from 1 species